GGGCGGUUAGCUCAGUUGGUUAGAGCGCUAGCUUCACACGCUAGAGGUCACAGGUUCGAAUCCUGUAUCGCCCACCA
rnacentral:tRNA from 3 species